UACGUAGGGUGCAAGCGUUAAUCGGAAUUACUGGGCGUAAAGCGUGCGCAGGCGGGUGUGCAAGACAGAUGUGAAAUCCCCGGGCUUAACCUGGGAAUUGCAUUUGUGACUGCACGGCUAGAGUGUGUCAGAGGGGGGUAGAAUUCCACGUGUAGCAGUGAAAUGCGUAGAUAUGUGGAGGAAUACCGAUGGCGAAGGCAGCCCCCUGGGAUAACACUGACGCUCAUGCACGAAAGCGUGGGGAGCAAACAGG
rnacentral:rRNA from 1 species